GACGAACGCUGGCGGCGUGCCUAAUACAUGCAAGUAGAACGCAGUUGCGCACGGGUGAGUAACGCGUAGGUAACUGCCUCAUAGCGGGGGAUAACUAUUGGAAACGAUAUCUAAUACCCCCUUCUGUGAGAUGUACCUGCUGUGUAUUAGCUAUUUGGUGAGGUAAAGGCUCACAAAGGCGACGUUACAUAGCCGAGCUGAGAGGGUUAUCGGCCACACUGGGAUGGAGACACGGCCCAGACUCCUACGGGGGGCAGCAGUAGGGAAUCUUCGGCAAUGGACGGAAGUCUGACCGAGCAACGCCGCGUGAGUGAAGAAGGUUUUCGGGUCGUAAAGCUCUGUUGUUAGAGAAGCGGUAACUAAACAGAAAGGGACGGCUAACUACGUGCCAGCAGCCGCGGUAAUUG
rnacentral:rRNA from 1 species